UGCCUCCCUCCCCUUCCAACCGCCGGCUGCUGCUGCUGGAGUGGGACGUCAGGCCGCCGCCGUGUAAUCCGAUCCAAGUGACUGCGCCGCUAUACGGCGGGAGAGGGAGGGGGGACACCGCAGGAAACUGUCACUGUGACCGCUCAUUUACCUGGGCCGGCCCGGGGGUGAGCAGGAGACGUGCCCGCAGCCCGGGACACCUGGGGGUGACAUGGGGUGAUACAGGGACCAUGCCCGACCCCUCCGCAUACAGCUGUAAGUCGGAUCUUCACAGCCUAAAAAGGCCUCAGGACACACAGGAGGAGCUGUGCUACUAACUGACAUGGAGAAAUGGGAGUUGUCUCCCAAUGUGGACAAGGCUCUGUCCCGACUGUCCAAAAAGGUGGCGCUUCCAUCUCCUGACACGGCUACCCUCAAGGAUCCGGCGGAUCGCAAGCAGGAGACGACAUUGAAAGCCAUUUUCGUUACUACUGGUGCAUUACUCAGACCUGCUGUGGCGUCGGCGUGGCAUCUCGUGAUAAUGAAUGGAGGACAGCAGCAGUACAUUCACCACCACUCUCCUUGGGGGCCACUACUGCUGGAGAGAGCCAAGUAUUCUCUUCACUUAUUGGGACUACUGUUGGUUGUAGCCCUUAAUAGAAGUGGUGAUAUCCAGUAAAAAAAUUACUACUUUUAAUAGCCAGUCUCAUAUUGAUGACCUCAUCCCCUGACAUGUCCUCUGCAUAAAAUAAAUCUCUGUAUUUUGACAAUAAAUAAAGACUGAAGGAAUGGA